rnacentral:rRNA from 1 species
AACGAACGCUGGCGGCAGGCCUAACACAUGCAAGUCGAACGGUUGUAGCAAUACAGCCGUGGCGCACGGGUGAGUAACGCGUGGGAAUCUGCACAGUAGUACGGAAUAACAGUUGGAAACGACUGACAAUACCGUAUACGCCCUUCGGGGGAAAGUUUUUCGCUAAUGGUAGAGCCCGCGUCAGAUUAGCUAGUUGGUGGGGUAAUGGCCUACCAAGGCGACGAUCUGUAGCUGUUCUGAGAGAAAGACCAGCCACACUGGAGUUGAGACACGUUCCAGACUCCUACGGGAGGCAGCAGUGGGGAAUAUUGGACAAUGGGCGAAAGCCUGAUCCAGCCAUGCCGCGUGAGUGAUGAAGGCCUUAGGGUUGUAAAGCUCUUUUGGCGGGGAAGAUAAUGACGGUACCCGCAGAAUAAGUUCCGGCUAACUUCGUGCCAGCAGCCGCCGUAA